UAAGUAAGAUUUUUACUAAAUAAGGUUUACUGGAUGAAAUAUGUAUAUGUAUGAACAUUAAUUUAAAAGAAAAGGUGAAAUUAAAGAUAUAGAAAAAUACAUAAUGUUAAAGAAAAAACAAAGGAAAAAGAAUAGUGAAAGGAAGUAGCCUCAACAUGUAAGCGAAUUUUGAAAGUAACCUUUAUUAUGUUAUAUAUGUUAUUUGAUAUAUGUAUACAAGCGAAUGUGAAAAAUUAUAACUUAAUUGAAAUCAAAGACACGAUGGCAGAAAAAUGUUACAAAUAUGCUUGGUAUUUUGCAAACAUUUUAGAUAAAUUCAGGCCUGAUCGUCCGUUUCGCUUCACUCGGCAGUGAGUCGUUCAGUCGAUAAUUUGAGAAAAAAUGCAAAAAUUCAAUUCGAAAAAAUAUCAAUUAGAAAAAAGGAGAAUUCUGAUUUGAAAAUGAAAAAAAGGUCAGGAAAAAAAGCGAAAUACACGAUUA